AUGCNNGUCCACCGGACAGAAGGGAUCUUGNUCCCGGAUGUUANCGGGGAAAGGUGGGUAACACGUGGGUAACCUGCCUGUAAGACUGGGAUAAAUAACGGGAAACCGGAGCUAAUACCGGAUAGUUCCUUGAACCGCAUGGUUCAAGGAUGAAANAGGGCUUUUNCAAAAACCCUUCCAGAUGGACCCACGGCCCAUUAGCUAGUUGGUGGGGUAAUGGCCCCCAAGGCUAGAAUGCGUACCCGACACCAGAGGGUGAGCGGCCCGCUGGGACCGCCCCANGGCCCCUCUCC
rnacentral:rRNA from 1 species